rnacentral:snRNA from 1 species
AUACCUUUCUCGGCCUUUUGGCUAAGAUCAAGUGUAGUAUCUGUUCUUAUCGGUUUAAUAUCUGAUAACCCGAGCUUACGGGUUCGGGGGCAAACUUAUAGGUUUUACCUAUAUAUGUUUGCGGGGAAGGGCCCUUAAUAUAGUAACUUGCUACUUGGGGUUCCUUCUGUGUCACCCUUGUUUUGCACUUCUAUGAAAGUUUUGUUAACUUUGU